rnacentral:lncRNA from 1 species
GUUUAUUUGCCACCCUCUCUCCUACCCCAGUAUAAAGUACUGACCAGUCAUAAAACAACCUAACCCAACCAUUACAGGAUGAGCCAGAUGUGAUGGGACACAUUUCAUCCAUUUCUGAUUUCUGUGGCUUUCUGCUAUGCAAACCAUUUGGGCAUAUUAGACAAAGCAGCCCAGGUCCUACUAGAAGUACAUGUGGUAAAACGAGUAUGUUUCUCACUGCCAGGUUUAAGGAUCAUUGCCUGUAAAGCUACCAAAAAUGGAAAUCUAUGUAUAUACAGCUUCGAAGUAGAAAUUAUAUGAACGAGUACUUUCAUGGUGCUUCCCAUGUGACAGCUAAGAGCAUAUAUAUUUUUGCAAACAUUUCCAGCUACAGCCCUUGGAUAGAGGAGAUUCCUGCUUGCCUGUUUGCUGAACUGUGGUGCAACAUCAGGGCCUUCACCAGAUGCCAAAGCCAUGCUCUUAAACUUCCCAGCCUUCCCAGCCAAACUAUUUACAAAUCUCCC